rnacentral:piRNA from 1 species
CUUGGAGGUGGGCAGGAGACCGGAAGAAA